GUGCUUGGUUCUGCAGCACAUGGACUAAAAUUGGAACGAAACAGCGAUUAGCAUGGCCCCUGGUGCAAGGAUGGCACUCAAAUUCACGAAGCGUUAAAAAGUAAU